rnacentral:rRNA from 1 species
GAUGAACGUUGGCGGCGUGUCUAAGGCAUGCAAGUCGAGCGACGGACCCACUUCGGUGGGGGACCGAGCGGCAAACGGGUGAGUAACACAUUGGUAACCUACCUCCGAGACGAGAAUAGCUCAUCGAAAGAUGAAUUAAUGCUCGAUGGUCACCACAUGCCAUAUGGUAUGUGGUGUAAACCUCCGGGGCUCGGAGAGGGGCCUAUGUCUGAUUAGCUUGUUGGUAGGGUAAUGGCCUACCAAGGCGAUGAUCAGUAGCAGGCGUGAGAGCGUGACCUGCCUCACUGGGACUGGGACACUGCCCAGACUCCUACGGGAGGCUGCAGUCAAGAAUAUUCCACAAUGGACGAAAGUCUGAUGGAGCGACGCCGCGUGCAGGAAGAAGCCCUUCGGGUGUAAACUGCUUUAUAUGGAAGAUUUAGUGACGGUACCAUAUGAAUAAGAGGUUGCUAACUCUGUGCCAGCAGCC